rnacentral:tRNA from 1 species
GAGUUCUUAGCUUAAGUUAGAAAGCGUCCCGCUGUAAACGGGGAGAUGGCUGUGGUCAGGCUUCA